CAUACAGCAAAAGCAACCCUAAGAGGGAAGUUUAUAAUAAUAAAUGCCUAGAAGAACAGAAAGGUUUCAAAUGAACAGCCCAUUGCUGCAUCUCAGGAAACUAGGAAAGCAAGAACAAGUUCAACCCUUUAAUAGUAGAAGGAAUGAAAUAGCAAAAAUAAGAGUUGAAAUAAACAACAUACAAACUAAAAUACAAGAGAAAAGGUCAAAGAAAUAAAGUGCUGGUUAUUUGAAAAGAUAAACAAAAUUUACACAAUUUUGCCUAGGACUAAUAAGAGGGGCUGCAUAGAGAACCUGAAUAAAUAAAAUCAGAAGUGAAUAAAAAGACAAUUAUGAAAACACAUACAGGGACUGGGGUUAUGCUCAGCAGUAGAGCACUCACCUUGGAUGUGCAAGGACCUGGGUUUGAUCCUCAGCACCACAUAAAAAUGAAUAAAUAAACAAAAUAAAGUUAUUAAAAAAG
rnacentral:lncRNA from 1 species